rnacentral:tRNA from 2 species
CAGAGAGUAGUUUAAUUUAGAAUACCAGCUUUGGGAGUUGGAGGUAAGGGUUUGAUUCCUUUCUUUCUGA